rnacentral:misc_RNA from 1 species
GGCAAAUUGGUUCAAACUCAAGUUCAGGAGACAAAUUGACUUUCAUUACGAGAAUUUUGCGCUCCAAAAUACUAGGCGGUAAUAGAUGCUUUUUUUUUUUCUUUUCUUUUAAUUAAAGGGGCAUAUUGGUUCAAACUCAAGUUCAAGGGGCAAAUUGACUUUUCAUGAAAAGUUCAAGGGCGAGAUAUGUUUGCAGCCGUCUUAUCGGAUAAACAAUUAUAGUCAUGUUAUCACAGAUUAACAUAUUA